UUGCUCUAGGGAUGAACAAGUCCCCUCAUAUUAAUCCAUCUGAUUCACUUUGUCAGCUGUCUUAUUCGUUGUCUAGCUGAUCAUUUUAGGGUGGUACAUGC